UUUAAGGGACCUCUAGGACAACACUAAACAUACUAACAUUCACAUGAUAGGGGCCCUACAAGGAGAAAAGAGAGAGAGGGACAGAAAAUCUAUUUGAAGAAAUAAUGGCCGAAAACUUUCCUAACCUGCAAAGGAAACAGAAAUCCAAGUUCAGGAAGCACAGAGUCCUAAACAAGAUGAACCCAAAGAGAGCCACACCAAGACACAUUAUCAACAAAAUGUCUA